rnacentral:rRNA from 1 species
UACGGAGGGUGCAAGCGUUAUCCGGAUUCAUUGGGUUUAAAGGGAGCGUAGGCGGUCUUGUAAGUCAGUGGUGAAAUCUCUCGGCUUAACUGAGAAAUUGCCAUUGAUACUGCAGGACUUGAGUACAGUUGCCGUUGGCGGAAUAUGACAUGUAGUGGUGAAAUACAUAGAGAUGUCAUAGAACACCGAUUGCGAAGGCAGCUAACGAAGCUGUAACUGACGCUGAGGCUCGAAAGUGCGGGGAUCAAACAGG